rnacentral:rRNA from 1 species
GACAGAGGGGGCAAGCGUUGCUCGGAAUUACUGGGCGUAAAGGGCGCGUAGGCGGGAUGGCAAGUCGGUCGUGAAAUCCUUCGGCUCAACCGAAGAACGUCGAUCGAUACUGCUGUUCUAGAGGGUUGCAGAGGAGACUGGAAUUCCCGGUGUAGCGGUGAAAUGUGUAGAGAUCGGGAGGAACACCGGUGGCGAAGGCGGGUCUCUGGGCAACUCCUGACGCUGAGGCGCGAAAGCGUGGGGAG